AACCAAUCAAGUGUCAACUGUCCAGAGCUGCCAAGGACCUGAAUAGCCUUAUCAUCAAGUCAAAUAUAACAUCCUUCUUCAUAUACAAAUCUCAAUAUUGAUAUCAUCAUCUGCUUCUUCUUCUUCGUUGUCUUUCCCAACAAUUGCAAACUCCCAAAUGAAUCAUCAAAAUUACUUAUCAUUCUUUCCCCCAUUUAUAAACCUCUAUGUUCUCAUCUUCUUUCUCAUAUCAGAAACCUCAUUUGCUGUGGAUUUUCACUUUGAAAACUGCAGUGUGCCCAAGACUUGUGGCGGCCAAAACAUAUGCUUUCCGUUCUUCAUUCCAGGCCAGCAAGAACCCUACUGCGGCUUCCCGGGGUUUCAACUCUCCUGCAUCGAUGGAUACCCUACUCUUCAGUUGGCUGGAGAUGAGUACUUGGUCCACAAUAUCAGUUACCAACACCAGACUCUUGUCGUCUCAAACGCUGCACUUUCAAACUCAAACACAUCGGUUUGUAUUCCAUCAGUCCAAACUUAACCUUUCCUACUGAUCAGUAUGACCUUGUUGAGAACCAAAAAGAAAUCGUUUUGCUAUAUGAUUGCAACUCUGCUUUGGUUGAUGAGUCGUUUUCCGAUGAGUACAAAAUCGGUUGCUUUAAGCAAACAAUGGCUAGGACGAAUAGUAGUUCAGUUCUGGCGCUGCCUGGGGAUCAACAACAAUUGUUAGCUAACGUGUCUGACAAGUGUGGAAGAGAAGUGGUGGUAAUUCCGGUUGAAGAUUAUGCAACUAAUGAGUUGGAUAUUGAAGAGGUUUUGAAAAGAGGGUUUAAGCUGAAAUGGUUAGCAAGCAACUGCAGCCGGUGUGAGGACAGUGGAGGCAAGUGUGGUUUUGAUUCCGAGUCCCGUCAUUUCCGCUGUUUCUGCCCAGAUAGGCCUCAUCUUGUCAGCUGUAAAGGAAAUGAUCAGGAUUUGAAGCUAGGACUUGGUAUUGGACUUGGAGGUCCAGCACUCCUUGGAGUCCUCGCAGCAUCCUUUUUUCUUUUCAGGCGUUACAAAAAAAAGCUCGCUUCUUCAAACGUACCCUCCAGGGACAUUUCUUCUCAGCCGUACUCGAAAUCAGACCUAGAAGGCGGCAAUGCCUACUUUGGUGUUUCGGUCUUCACCUACGAGGAACUUGAAGAAGCCACUAAUCAUUUUGACUGUGAAAAGGAGCUUGGAGAUGGAGGUUUUGGAACUGUCUACUAUGGCAAACUGAAAGAUGGCAGGGAAGUUGCAGUCAAGCGUUUAUAUGAGCACAAUUGCAAACGUGUGGAACAGUUUAUGAAUGAAAUUGAAAUUCUCACUCGUCUGCGCCACAAAAACUUAGUCUCCCUCUAUGGUUGCACUUCACGCCGCAGCCGUGAACUCAUACUCGUCUAUGAAUACAUUCCCAAUGGCACUGUUGCUGAUCAUCUCCAUGGUGACUUAGCAGAACGUGGUUCACUGACAUGGCCUAUUCGUAUGAGCAUUGCCAUCGAAACUGCCUAUGCAUUGUCUUACCUCCAUGUUUCUGACAUUGUGCAUCGUGAUGUGAAGACUACCAACAUUCUCCUUGACAACAACUUUACUGUUAAAGUUGCUGAUUUUGGGCUCUCGCGGCUUUUCCCCCUUGAUGUCACUCAUGUCUCUACUGCUCCACAAGGUACCCCUGGUUAUGUUGACCCAGAGUAUCACCAGUGUUACCAGCUAACCAGCAAGAGUGAUGUUUAUAGUUUUGGGGUUGUCCUCAUUGAGCUGAUAUCAUCUCUGCCAGCAGUUGAUAUAACUAGGCAUAGGCAUGAGAUCAAUUUGUCUAACAUAGCCAUAAACAAGAUACAAAGAGGUUUAUACAGUGAGCUGGUAGAUUCAUGUCUUGGUUUUGAGUCAGAUCAUGAAGUUAAAAGGAUGACAAUUGCAGUCGCAGAGUUGGCUUUCCAAUGUUUGCAGCAGGACAAUGAUGCAAGGCCUACCAUGUCUGAGGUUUUGGAAACGUUGCAGAUGAUUGAAAGUGGAAAAGAUGUUCCACAGAAUCCGAAGGUCUUUGAUGAUGUUGAGAUGACAACGAGCAUACAGCCACCACCUUCACCAGAAUGUGAUGAGCUUCAGUUGUUGAAGAACAUGAAGCCGCCAUGUUCACCGAUCUCCGUGACCCAAAACUGGCCUAGCACUAGGUCUACUACACCCAAUGCCAAGUCAAGACCUAAGGUCUAUCUGGUACUAGUCAAUGUUGAAGAUGAGGAGGAAACUACCUCUUCCAAUGAAAGGUUCCAAGUCUUUCCAUCACCAAUUUCCAAGUCAACUGAGAAUUCUAGGAUGGCUCCAGUCACUUUGUUUAUUUCAUUUCUUCUCACUAGUUUUGCUGUUCUUCACUCUGCUCAAGAAGACAGAAACUACACACGUUGUCAACCCUACUUAUGUAAUGAUGUAUUUGGCAGCCUCUCUUUCCCCUUCAAGUCUAAGGAACAACCUCCCGAAUGCGGAUUGUAUUCUGUUGAUUGUUCUGAAGUGCCUCCGAAGAUCCAACUUAAAGAGGGAGGAUACUGGCAUGAAAUUACAAGCCUCUCCAACAAUACUAUUUCGAAUGUUUCAGUGAUCAUCAGCGAAGAGCUUCGAGAGCGCUUGGCAAGUAAACCUUGCGAUGAUGAAAGCAUUGGGGAUUUAAGUCUUAUCUGCCCUUCUCCACCAUUUAAAGUGUUCAUCACACACUAUCAGACCCUGUUAAAAUGCAGCAAUCCCCUGAUGAACACAACUUCUUAUAAGGAUCUGGAUCUUAAAUUCGGCUGCAGAAGCCCUAUCCAUCGAUAUUAUUAUUAUUAUGUUUCUUCCAACUAUGUACAAAGUCCUUAUUGGCCUCGGUCACAGUGCUCAGUUGUUUCGCUCCCUCUUCUUACGGGUUGGAAUCUUUCGAAUCAACCUUCCUCUAAUUUCGCUCCUGACUUCAUCUCUCCUAACUUCCGGUUUCAAGUGACAGUACCCAAAGAAUGUUAUGAACGCAUUGCAACAGGAGGCAUUUGCCAGGUACACGAGGAAGAAACAGAAACUACUUGUUUACCUGCACCAAGUCCUGCUCCAAGUCCUGCACCAAGUCCUGCACCAAGUCCACCAACAGGUAUCGGACUUGGAGUACCAACACUUCUUGCAGCAUGCUUCUUUAUUCUGUGGUGUUACAGACAAAAAUGUGCUUCUAAAAACUUGGUAUUAUCAAGGAACACUCCAAAUUCAGACCUAGAAGGGCGCAGCGUGUACCUUGGUGUUCCAGUCUUCACCUAUAAAGAACUUGAGGAAGCAACUAAUCAUUUUGAUUGUGAGAAAGAAAUUGGAGACGGAGGUUUUGGAAUUGUAUAUCAUGGCAAACUCAAAGAUGGCCGCGAAGUUGCAGUCAAGCGAUUAUACGAGCACAACUACAGACGUGCAGAACAAUUUAUGAAUGAAAUUGAAAUUCUUACCCAUCUGCGCCACAAAAAUUUAGUUACCCUCUAUGGAUGUACUUCACGCCACAGCCGUGAUCUCCUUCUUGUAUACGAGUACAUUGCCAAUGGCACUGUUGCUGAUCAUCUCCAUGGAGACCGAGCUGCCACAGGCUCACUCACGUGGCCUAUACGCAUGAGCAUUGCCAAAGAAACUGCAAGUGCAUUGUAUUACCUACAUGCUUCGGAUAUAGUACACCGAGAUGUGAAGACUACCAACAUUCUCCUUGACAACAACUUCACUGUUAAAGUUGCUGAUUUUGGUAUCUCCCGGUUUUUCCCCCUUGAUGCCACUCAUGUCUCAACUGCUCCACAAGGGACUCCUGGUUAUGUUGAUCCAGAGUAUCACCAAUGCUACCAGCUAACUCCCAAGAGUGAUGUUUAUAGCUUUGGGGUUGUUCUCAUUGAGCUUAUAUCAUCAUUACCAGCAGUUGAUAUAACGAGGCACAGGGAGGAAAUCAAUCUGUCAAACAUAGCCAUAAACAGGAUUCAAAAUGGCUUAUACAGUGAGCUGGUGGAUUCAUGUCUUGGUUUUGAGUCAGAUCAUGAAGUUAAAAGGAUGACAAUUGCAGUAGCAGACUUGGCUUUUCAAUGUCUUCAGCAGGAUAGUGAUGCAAGGCCUACAAUGUGUGAGGUUUUGGAGGCUUUGAAGAAAACCGAAAGCAGGAACGAUGUUCCAAGGGAUCUAAACCCAGCAUUCUGUGAUGCAGGGAUGGGAAAGAGUAUACAGCCACCUCCUUCACCCUAUUCUGACCGGAUUGAGUUGAAGAACACGAAGGCACAAUCUUCACCAAAUUCUGUGAUAGGAAAAUGGACUAGCAGUAGUUCUACUACACCUAAUCCCUACUCAAACUCAGACCUAGAAGGAGACGGUGCCUACUUUGGUCUUUCAGUCAUCGCCUACAACGAACUUGAAGAAGCCACUAAUCAUUUUGAUAGCAAAAAGGAACUUGGAGAUGGAGGGUUUGGAACUGUCUACCAUGGGAAACUCAAAGAUGGCCGAGAAGUUGCAGUGAAGCGCUUACACGAGCACAACUACAAACGUGAGGAACAGUUUAUGAAUGAAAUUGAAAUUAUUACCCGCCUGCGCCAUAAAAACUUAGUCGCCCUUUAUGGCUGUACUUCACGCCGCAGCCGUGAACUCCUCCUUGUGUACGAAUACAUUCCCAAUGGCACUGUUGCUGAUCAUCUCCAUGGUGACCUAGCACACCACGGUUUACUCACAUGGCCUAUUCGUAUGAGCAUUGCCAUAGAAACUGCCAAUGCAUUGUCUUACCUCCAUGCUUCUGAUAUCCUGCAUCGUGAUGUGAAGACUAGCAACAUUCUUCUUGAUAACAAUUUGUGCGUAAAAGUUGCAGAUUUUGGACUCUCCCGGAAUUUCCCCCUUGACAUCACUCAUGUCUCAACUGCUCCACAAGGCACCCCUGGUUAUGUUGACCCCCAGUAUCAUCAAUGUUACCAGCUAACUAGCAAGAGUGAUGUUUACAGUUUUGGGGUUGUCCUCAUUGAGCUUAUAUCGUCCAUGCCAGCAGUUGAUAUAACUAGGCCGAGGGAUGAAAUCAAUUUAUCUAACUUAGCGCUAGACAAGAUUCAAAAAGGUUUAUACAAUGAGCUGUUAGAUUCAUCUCUUGGGUUUGAGUCAGAUGAUGAAGUGAAAAGGAUGACAAUUUUAGUGGCAGAAUUGGCAUUUCAAUGUUUGCAGCAGGACAACAACAUGAGACCUACCAUGUGUGAGGUUUUGGAGACUUUGAAGAUGAUUGAGAGCAGGAAGGAUGUUCCAGAAAAUUUAAGGAGGGGAUUUGAAGAUGCUGAGAUGAGAAACCGCCCUGCUCCUCCGAAGAUCCAACUCAAAGAGGGAGGAUACUGGUUUCAAUUUAAAAGCAUAGCUCAAUCAGGUACCGUUUUAAUCAAUGACAGCAAGCUUCAGGAGCGUAUAAAGAACUUAGAAACGAAUGACUGCCAUGAUGACAUUUUCAGUGAUUUAAGUCCUCCCAGUUCUUCUCCUAUUGUCAAUAUAUCCGCACACAACCUUACCCUGUUCAGAUGCAACAACACCCUGGACAACACUCCUUCCGACGAUCCUUACUAUGCCUGCAGGAAUGAAAAUUAUACUUACUACACUGUAUCAUAUGAUGGUUUAGACUGCUCAGCCAUUCAUAUCCCCAUACUUCCACCUUCUCCUUCCAGUGUCUAUAAUCUUUCAGCAUUGACAGCUAAAUUCCCACUUCAAGUACAAUUUACCAAAGAAUGUACUCAGUGCUAUACUAUUGGAGGUAAAUGCUUUGAUUACUAUGGAAAAUUCAAAUGUGACCGCGGUGAAUGCUGGGAUGAUGAGAAGGGAGUAUACAAAUGUGAAAAAGCAGGUGUUGCGGCAGGCGUUGUGGCUCUAGUGGUUGUGUAUUAUUGCUGCUAUGUCUGGGAGAAGAAACGGCAAGAUCGGCAAAAUGUUGAGGCCUUUCUAAGGAACUACGUGCCACUUCAAGUUAAAGGAUACAGCUAUUUGAAUGUCAAGAAAAUGACCAAUUCCUUCAAGGAAAAAUUAGGACAAGGGGGCUACGGUGGUGUAUACAAGGGAAAACUAAACGAUGGCUGUCUUGUAGCAGUGAAGGUCUUGAACAGAUCAAAAGGCAAUGGAGAAGAGUUUAUGAAUGAGGUAGCAGCCAUUAGUAGAACUUCCCAUGUCAACAUUGUCAGCUUGUUGGGGUUCUGCUUUGAGGGUUCAAAAAGAGCUCUUAUCUAUGAAUUCAUGCCUAAUGGAUCUCUUGAGAAGUUCAUAUUUGAUGCAAAUAACCCCCAAAAAGUUCAUCACUUGGGAUGGGAAGCAUUAGAAAGAAUUUCACUUGGCAUUGCUCGAGGCCUAGAGUACUUGCACCGUGGCUGCAACACAAGAAUUUUGCAUUUCGACAUUAAACCUCAUAACAUUCUUCUUGAUGAGAACUUUUUGCCGAAAAUCUCUGAUUUCGGCCUUGCCAAAAUUUGUGACAGGAAAGAGAAGGUGUUCUGUAGAAGUUUUGGAGGGGUCUCACACAAAUCGGAUGUGUACAGCUACGGAAUGAUGCUUUCAGAGAUGGCUGGGGGAAGAAGGAACAUCAAUGUUGAAGCUGAAAAUACUAGUGAGAUAUACUUUCCACACUGGAUUUACAAGCGUCUUGAGCUGGACGAGGAACUUGGCCUGCAUGGUAUCAAAAGUGAGGAAGACAAAGCCAGAGCAAGAAAGUUGAUAAUAGUAAGCUUGUGGUGCAUACAGACUGAUCCCUCAAACCGACCAGCGAUGAAAGAAGUGAUAGAAAUGCUGGAAGGGAGUGUGGAGUCCUUGAAGAUACCACCCAAGCCCUACUUGUCUUCUCCUGCAAAAUCCCCUGCAGUGGCAGAUUCUUCUUGUACGUUGGUAUCGAUACAAUAA